UGUUGAAGAUGAUAAAUAGAUAAUUGAAGGUGAAAAUAAUAAAUUAACGAUUAUUGGUAUUAGUAGAAUAAUUUCUACAUCAAAAGUUAAGAAAAUUACAGCUAAUACUC